GCCCCGCCCUGUGCGAAGGGGUCUGGGAAGUCGGGUUUUCUGCGAGCAAUAGUCGCAGCCCUCUAUCCGCUCCUUACGGGUGGCCUCAGCCUUCCUCGUUCUGCUAUAGGGUCUUGCAGUGGCUUCCGGACCUUUGAAAGAAUUAAAGCAGCAGGAACUGAGGCUGCGGAUACCUGAGGGACCUUUGUCUGAGGGGCAGGCUCUUACCCUGCAGGAGUCUUAGGGCCUCUAGCCUGCUCUUAACCCUUUCUUUUUACUGCUUUUAUCCCUUCUCCCGACUGUCCUUAGUCUGUAUCUCUGGCCUUAUUAAAAGGAAGUACAACAAGAUGAGGUAUACAAACGGGUGUUGGAUAACCAGAUGAGAAAGCUGAGGUCAGAAAAAUAAACUGAAAAGCCUGAUCUAGAAGAGAAGUGCAAGUAUCUGACGUCCAGGUGACUGUCCCCCAGCAUUUAACCCAGGACAUGGAGAAGACAGAUGAGAUAAGGAGGAAUCUGGGGGAGCUUCUGGCCCAGCUGCUGCCCCACACCAACAAGUUGAGCCAUCAAACCAGUAGGAAUGGUUGGGGGAUGGAUUGAACUGCUGGCAGGAUCAGGAGGAGCAAGGCCUGUAAUCUGGAAGCUGAAGGGCAAGAACCUCAUCAGGUCUCACAUGGGUGAUCAGAGAUGCCUUUUACUCAGCACCCUUUUGUAAAAGGCACUAUGAUUUCUACAAAGUCCCCUGGGUAUCAUCGAGAUUCAACCAAGAAUGGGUAACCUUUGCUGCCAGCUUAAGGACCUGCUAGCUGUUCUUGGAGUGGGCUUCCCUCUCUUUUUCGCUGAAGGAUGAAAGUCACUUCUCCAAUUUAAUUUUCAUGGCUUCAGCUCCUGGACAUUUCUGAUGGCUUGAAAGUCUACAUAAUAAUAAUAGCGCUCACCAUUGAUCACGCCAUUAUCAUAUGCUGGUACAUCUCUAAUCCCUAAGUCUGUGCUGUGUCAUUUUAUCUAUAUUGUGAUAUAGUAUCACUUCUCCUAUUUUCAAAUGAGGGAAGAGAUUUAUUAUGGUAGGCAUUUUUCCCAAGUUCACAUCAUCAGCAAGUGGUAGGCCUUGGUUUUGAAUAUAGAGGCAUCUGAAUCCUAAAAUGUCAUCUCAGCAACUGUGGUCUACUGCCUUCUAAAAUUCCUGCCAACUCUACCCUUCCCAUCAAACUCAACAACACACAAUUCCUCCUCUUUUGUGUUUAUUUUGCUUCAUGAUUCUAUCUUCCAUAAAGGCUCCAAAUCUAGAAAUGUCCUUGACUUCUUCCUCUCCAUUACCACUUGUCCGAUUGGUCUUCAUGUUCAGCAGCAUUUGGUUCAUAGAUAUCAUGACGAGGACGUGCUAUGACAUCAUCUCCUGCUUCCUCAUUGAUUUCCUAGGCUGCUCUUUCCACAACCCAUUAGUCUUGCACAAUGUUACCAGAUCCUUUUUAAUCAAUCCAAUUCUGUCAUUUUGCUUAAAAACACCUCUUGGCUCCUUGAGUCCCUGUUGCCUACCAAUCACCAUAGCAUUCCCACAAGAUCAUUCAUGUAUUUUGUAUUCAGAUUUGUCUCAUAUGUAUAUGAAUGAUUAUUUUUUCAGAUGUGUAUAGCUGCUAUAUAAGGAAAAGUAUAGGUUCAUUUCAAAAUAUUA
ensembl:lncRNA